UUACAAGUGUAAAUCACAACUAGCUUGCUUUUGAUUUUACAGUUUCAUAGGCAGAAUGAACUUGCCUUGUUUCAGCUGAGACUUUGGGCUUGGAAUUUUGAGUUAAUUUUGGAAUGAGUUAAGACUUUGGAGGACUGCUAGAAAGA